AGUGUUAUUUCUAUAUUUUGUACAUGUGUAGGGUCAGGUAAAGGGUCGUGCUCUUUUUUAUGUAUCAAUCCGCGUUGAUGUUGGAGCCGUCUCACCUUUCGGAUGCUCCCGCUGUUGCUGCUCUCAUCGGGCAAACUUUGGGGCAUGUCGUCGUCCGAGGCACCGUCUGACAGAGACGACUCCCUGAAGAUUAAUGGGGGUAUUUCACCAGCACACAGGUGAAGAAAGAGGCUUUGGACAAACUCGUGAAUCCACCUCAACAAGAAAGUGCUCUGAUUUUCUCUGGAAUAUCGGCACGUUUCAUUACGUUCCAGAACAAUUGCUUUCAUGCUGAGGGGCUCAACUGACCGAGAUCAAAAAGUUCUCCUGGAUGACAAAAGAGGA
rnacentral:lncRNA from 1 species